CCUACGGGAGGCUACAGUGGGGAAUAUUGGACAAUGGGGGGAACCCUGAUCCAGCCAUGCCGCGUGUGUGAAGAAGGCCCUCGGGUUGUAAAGCACUUUCAGUGAGGAAGAACGCCUGGUGGUUAAUACCCAUCAGGAAAGACAUCACUCACAGAAGAAGCACCGGCUAACUCCGUGCCAGCAGCCGCGGUAAUACGGAGGGUGCGAGCGUUAAUCGGAAUUACUGGGCGUAAAGCGCGCGUAGGUGGCUUGAUAAGCCGGUUGUGAAAGCCCCGGGCUCAACCUGGGAACGGCAUCCGGAACUGUCAAGCUAGAGUGCAGGAGAGGAAGGUAGAAUUCCCGGUGUAGCGGUGAAAUGCGUAGAGAUCGGGAGGAAUACCAGUGGCGAAGGCGGCCUUCUGGACUGACACUGACACUGAGGUGCGAAAGCGUGGGUAGCAAACAGGAUUAGAUACCCUAGUAGUC
rnacentral:rRNA from 1 species